CAAAUUGAAGAGUUUGAUCCUGGCUCAGAACGAACGCUGGCGGCAUGGCUAAGACAUGCAAGUCGAACGGACCAUUUUGAAGAGUAAUCGGACGGAUGGUUAGUGGCGAAAGGGUGAGGAAUAGAUAGGAACGUACCUUUAGCUUCGGAAUAGCUCGCUGAAAGGCGGGGUAAUACCGGAUAAUACCGAAAGGUCAAAGAUUUAUCGGCUAUUGAGCGGCCUAUCUCCUAUCAGCUAGUUGGUGGGGUAAUGGCCUACCAAGGCGACGACGGGUAGCGGGACUGAGAGGUUGGCCCGCCACAUCGGGACUGAGACACUGCCCGGACCUCCACGGAGGGCUGCA
rnacentral:rRNA from 1 species